CGAAAUUUUAUGACGAGUGUGACUUUGCACUGAGAGUUGUAAAAAACCAGUUAAACAGAAAACUGAUCUCAUAUUGAGUUGUUUGUAUUUUUAUUGAAGUACAAACUUAAAGUUUUAGUAAAUUGAAUCAUCUAAGUAACUAAAAAAUAAAAUCAACCGAGAAUUUGUUAGUAGUGGCGAGCGAAAACGAAAUUUUAAAGACUUAAAAAAUAAUUUGAAUAUUUUUUAAAAUAUAUAAAUCAUUUAUUUAAUUUUAGCCGUAGAAGGUGUGCUUUGUGAAAAGUAUUAGCCCUGUAAAAUAAAUGAAAAAUUAUUUUAAUUUAGUAAUUUGUACCAAGUGAUGGUAAAAAUGAAAAUUGGGGGACCACCCUCAAGUCUAAAAACGUUUGAUGAUUGAUAGUGGACAAGUACUGUGAAGGAAAGGUGAAACAAAAGUUUAACAGAAUAAACAUUAAUUUAAAUUGAAAUUUAAUGCAAACAAUCAAUUGAAGCUUUAAAAAGUAACAGUGUACCUUUUGCAUAAUGGGCCAAUGAAUUUAUUUUGGUGGCGAGCUUAAAUUAAAAUAUGUAGGCGAAAAGAAAUUAAGUUUUAAAAAUGCUUUUAAGUCUCUGAAAUAAGACCCGAAACUAAGUGAUCUAACCAUGAACAGGUUGAAUUUAUUAGCGGUAACGCUUAUUGGAGGACCGAACCCGUGUAUGUAGAAAAAUACUGGGAUGAUUUGUGGUUAGGGGUGAAAGGCCAAUCAAACUUAGAGAUAGCUGGUUUUCUGCGAAAUCUAUUUAAGUAGAGCGUUUAAAAACUUUAAUAUAUGGUAGAGCACUCAAUAAAUAAUGGGAACGUAAAGUUUUACUGAAUUUAAUGAAACUCCGAAUGUAAAUUAAAAGAUUUUAGACAGACAGACUUUGGGUGCUAAGGUCCAAAGUCAAGAGGGAAACAGCCCAGACUAUUCGUUAAGGUCCUAAAAAAUAAUUAAGUGAAAAAUUUGUAUUAAAUUUUAAACAAUCGGUAGGUAGGCUUGGAAGCAGCCACCCUUUAAAGAAAGCGUAACAGCUCACUGAUUUAGAUUUUUUGCAAUAAAAAUGUAUAAGGACUAAAAUUAUUUACCGAAACGAUAGAUUUAAUUUUUUAAUUAAAUGGUAGCAGAACGUUCUGUAAUUUAAUGAAUUAUUAUAGUGAUAUAAUAGUAAAAAAUCAGAAGUGAAAAUAUUGGCAUGAGUAGCGAUAAACAAUGUAAAAACAUUGUCGUCUUAAGUCUAAGGUUUCCAAAGAAAGGCUAAACCGCUUUGGGUUAUUCGGUCCCUAAGAAAAAAACGAAAGUUUUUUUUAAUGGGUGUAUUAUUUAAAAUUUAAUAAUUGUGACAAAAUGUGAAAUAAAUUAUUAUUUUAUGGUAUUGAAUAGUAGUUUAUUAGUAUUUUCAAGAAAUAGCAAUUUAUAUAAUCAAAACCGUACAGUAAACCGACACAGGUAGACAAAUUUAGUAAAUUAAGACGCUUGAAAUAAUUAUGUUGAAGGAACUCGGCAAAAUGACUCUGUAACUUCGGGAUAAGGAGUAGCUUUUAUUAAGAGAAAUCUUUAAAAGCUGUCACAAAAUCGAGGACAGCGACUGGUUAAUAAAACCACAGGUCUCUGCAAAAUUGUAAAAUGAUGUAUAGAGACUGACGCCUGCCCGGUGCUGCAAGUAUAAUAGAAAAAGUUUAGGCUUUGACUAAAAAUCCCAGUAAACGGCGGCUGUAACUCUGACGGUCCAAAGGUAGCGAAAUUCCUUGGCAUUUAAUUGGUGUCCUGCAUGAAUGGCGUAACGACUGUCCUACUGUCUCCAACAUAAUUUCAGUGAAAUUGAAUUCUCCGUGAAGAUGCGGAGUUCUUGCGGCUAGACGGAAAGACCCCGUGCACCUUUACUAUAGUUAUGUAUUGUAAUAAAAAAUUUUAUGUGUAGAAUAAAUGGGAAAUUAUAAGCAUGCGUUUACAGAUAGUAAAAAGCAAAAAUACCAGUGAAAUACCAUUCUUAAAAUUUUUUAUUACUCAUUUUUUAAAACAUUGCAUAAUGGGUAGUUUGACUGGGGCGGUCGCCUCCUAAAAAGUAACGGAGGUGUACUUAAGGUAAGUUCAG
rnacentral:rRNA from 1 species